UACGAAGGGGGCUAGCGUUGCUCGGAAUUACUGGGCGUAAAGCGCACGUAGGCGGCUUUCUAAGUCGGGGGUGAAAUCCUGGAGCUCAACUCCAGAACUGCCUUCGAUACUGGAGAGCUUGAGUCCGGGAGAGGUGAGCGGAACUGCGAGUGUAGAGGUGAAAUUCGUAGAUAUUCGCAAGAACACCAGUGGCGAAGGCGGCUCACUGGCCCGGUACUGACGCUGAGGUGCGAAAGCGUGGGGAGCAAACAGG
rnacentral:rRNA from 1 species